GUUCCCGCCGCCGUUGGCCGUCAUUGAGGACGAGCUGCCGCUGCCGCCGCCGACACGGCCAUCCCGCCCUGCCACCGCAGCCGCCGGUGUGAGCUCCCCCGUGGCGUUCCUCGCGACUGGGAAGUUGGUCUUGGCGUUGCGGCCGCUCAUCAGGAUGGCGGCCUCGUCGUACGCCCGCGCCGCCUCCUCCGCCGUCUCAAAGGGUGGUUGGGGCCAGCAACAGUAAUAUCUAGCAGGAGGGAUGAGAUAAAACUGAACAUGUGAGAGAUCAGAAAUAAGCUGUUAAUAAGCCUAGAGAAGGAAGUGAAGAAGACUCUUUGGUGAGAUUAGUGGAAGAGAGAGAUAGAUGGAAAGAGGAUGGGGGGCCCUCAUGGGCUGCUGGGGUGGGCUGUCGGUGAACUGUGGCGAGCGGCAUAACCACCUUCUCUGCCAGUACGCCGGUACAAACACUGAAGCUUGGACAGUGUGUACUACUCCAGAAAUGGACUUGAUGGGCGUUCGUAACCAAGAGCAGUUGGCCUGCAAUAACUGCCCCAAUCAAGCAGCCAAUCAUCCAUCCAUCCAUGGCGCAUCGGCAAGGAAGGCGCACACAGCAUUGCAGCAGCAGAAGAACUUGCUCUUCUCUCCGUAAAAAGUUCCAUCGGCUCCACACAGAUACGUGUGUCAGUGAGUUCCUGCAGGGAUGGAAGCUUCUUCUGCUGCUGCUCGUCGUACACAUGCACGCACUCCUUUUUUUACAUGGAAAAGUGCAGGCAGGUUUGUGGUGGUUGCCAAGGACUGUCAGGACCUGUCGUCCAGUAAAAACCGUUGACAGGGCUGCUUGCUCUUUGUCAGCCUGGCAGACUGCAAGGUUUCACAUUUUUGCAGGUAAACGGUGGGGGCAAGUCCGAGUUGGGCGGCUUUGGUUACAGGAAACGGAUGACGAUGAUCAGACCUGCCACACCUCUGUCAGAAACAAAGUCCACAAGAGAUGUAGCAGUUGAAGGUAGCAACGUACGUACAAACGUCUAAGGAAGGUGAUGGCUCGUUACUCACUAGCCAUGCUGCAUCAACCGAUGGGAAUUAAUCAGCAAAUCAGCUGGCCUGGAGUGAGUGAGUGAGUGAGCUGAUCACUGGACCGGGCAUUGAUAUGAUCCUCGCAUAUAUGCACACGGAUCCACCAACCCUGUGUACACACAUAGUGCCCGACUGCGUCGGUCGCUGGCGUGUGAUAGCGUGGCCGUGAUUGACGUGGCCAAUUUCUUGACGAUUAUCGAGUGCGCGAGCGAGCGGCAGGAUAUUUUUGGGCUGCAAAUGUUCGAGGUUUCGUGGACAAUCGAUGAACACGGCUGGAUCUUCAUUUUUCUGUAAUUUCUAAUAACGUCGUUCCUUUCAAUGGGUAAAUUGUGAGGAUCGAUUGGCCAAUCAGGCGCACACGUUUUGCUUGCUUGUGCUUUAGCGUAGCUAGCCACUGUUGUCCAUAGUUUGAUCCAUUUAAGAAUGGGUCAUAGUUCUGUGCUGUGCUGUAGCUAGCCUUAAUUUGCUUUGUCAAGUCGUGGUAAUUAACAAUCUAUAUGUGUGAAUACGUACGUCAGUACGUGCCUGGCCAUGAUCACCAAUAUUGCUUGGGGGGACACCGGAAGCGUUGGCAUGGAAACUUGGGAAAACGUUAGGGGAGAAGGGCCAGGAGAGUUGGCCGGGCAUAAUUAUGAGGCUGUCGACGGGUAGUUACAUUACAUGCAGAUGACGAUGCAUAUAUUAUAGUGCAUCCAGGUGGUAGCACCACUGUUGUAGCAGCAGUAGACCAGUAGUUGUUGCCUUGUUUAGUGUUAGCUUUAGCUGCAUCCUGACCUGACUUUCUCCCAGGAUCUGAGGUUCUCUCUGAACAAACCAGCCUCAACAUGCACACCCCGCAAUCAGAUAUAUCUUCUCUCAUUCUUACUACUCGAUGUACUUUGUAUUUUUCAUUGUUUUGAUCUAUGUAGACGUGUGGAUCGAUAGAAAUGAUUUGAUGCAUUGAGGGGUCU